rnacentral:lncRNA from 1 species
GUCCACUACACUAUGAAACCACACACACUUUGAUAUUACUGGCCGCAAUUGAUAUGGUGAAAACAAUGAGUGGGGAGACAGAGGCACAGAAACUCACAUCAAUACCUUUGUCAGAUAAACACUGUUAAACUAAUCAUUUAUGCUAUGGCUAGUGAUCAAGAGGAAACUCUGACUGAACGACUCAAAAGCUCCCCAGCUUAUGGUCUGCAAAUGGACGUUAGCUUUGAUGCGUUGACGUUUGUUAGCUACAUGUCAGGGAACGCUAAUCAUGAGCAAGAAUUGUUCUGUCUCAUGAUUCCUGAGCAUUAAAUGACACAGGGGAUGUCCAGUGUGCCGCGUGGCGAUAUUGACGAAAAACAGAUUCCAGGUGAUCGAAUGCUGGGGCUUUUGCACAGAUGGGGCUCUAUCUACGGCGGGACGGCGGACAGGCCUCUGCACUCUAGUUAAGAAUGAGUCUCCCUCUGCCAUAUGGACGCAUUGUAUGAUACACCGAGAGCAACUGGUGGCAAAAGAGCUGAGCACAGAACUCAGAGAUACUGUAUUCUGCAGCAGGUAACUUCAAUUGUUAAACUACAUCAAACCACAUCCACUGCGUGCCUGUUCACUAAACUAUAUGGAGAUAUGGGAUCAGAGCAUGACAAUGUUCUAUUUCAUACCGAGGCUUGGGGGUUAUCGAGAGGGAGAGUUGGGAGAGAAAAGAAAUUGAAUUGAGAAAAGAACUGUUGUUGUAAAAAUAAAAAACAGACUUGUUUGACUUUCUGUGUAAUGAAAAGAAAAUGUUUCUCCUUGCCUAUGUAAACAGACGUAUUUGGGAAACUGAACGAAUUGAACGCAAGCGUGCCGGGAAAAUACAAAAAAAACAUUCUACAGAUGAGUGAACGAAUCAGUGGAUUCGAUCCAAAAGUGAUCCGUACCCACUUUCUUCGGCCGUUUCUAACAGAAAACUGCAUCAGUAAGUGUCCCACACCAGUAAUGACUGCUCACCGCCAACGUUUUGGAAAAGCACUUUGAGACCUACUUCUCAAUCCGUUUGACUGUGAUCCUGGCUCUGUUGACAUGCCGGGUUGGAUGUGACAGCAGAGAUGAGUUGCGUACUGUCGACCACGCCCCCUGACUUUGAGAAGCGCCGACAGACGCGACAUGCAUCAAGCCACACCCAUCUCAUUAGUGGUGGUGAGAUAAGAGAAAAUGAUGUCUGUCACCGAACCGGCUCAAAGUUUCAUAACAAAAAUGGAGACAACGUGGAGAUAAGGAAUAACAAAAUAUAUUUAUUAACUGAAGUAAACUAAAUACAAUUAACAAUGAUGUGUGUAGUCAGUAAUCAGUAGUGUAAGUGAGUGGUUGCGUGCAUAAAUGUGAUAAUGAGGGGUGUUGAAAGGUGCCAACGCAAGCAAACAAACAAACAAACAAACAAACAAACAAACAAACAAACAAACAAACAAACAAACAAGCAAAACAGCCACAACCAUAAUCUAUCAGUGUGUCUGCAUGGAGAGAGUCUCCUCAAUGAACGGGGAAGAGGUGUAUUUAUCCUGGGACACACCCGGGCCCAGGUGUGUCCCAUGUCGCUGACGACCCUCCCAGCUCCGCCCACCAACAUCCUAAUAAGGAAAACAAGAGUAAAGAGAAAGGAUACGGCAGACAGAACGGGAGGGUCGUCACAUGUCAGACUCAUUUGCAAUUGACUGUCACAGUCCCACAUGAACAGUAUGUGAUGGUGAGUUGAGAAGACAAUCAGAAAUACUGUUAGAAUGUUUUUCUAUUGAAAGCCAUAGCCCCA